rnacentral:misc_RNA from 1 species
GUGAAUCAUCGAAUCUUUGAACGCAAAUUGCGCUUUCUGGUAUCCCGGGAAGUAUGCCUGUUUGAGGAUCGGUAUUAACAUAAACUCGGUUUGGUUGCAAAUUGUUACGUUUCGGUAGUUUUGGCUUAUCUUAAAUUUUUUGGUUAAGGGGCUUAAAAUUGACCUUUUUUGUGCAUUUUUAGACGUACAUAAAUUUUUUUUUAUUAGUCUAUUAUUAAUGCAAAAAUCUAAUUAGUUGCGAUCACAUCGUGU